UACGGAGGGAGCGAGCGUUGUCCGAAGUUACUGGGCGUAAAGCGCGCGCAGGCGGCGAUCUACGUCUGGGGUGAAAGCCCGGAGCUCAACUCCGGGACUGCCUUGGAUACGGGAUCGCUUGAGGAUUGGAGAGGCAAGGGGAAUUCCACGUGUAGCGGUGAAAUGCGUAGAGAUGUGGAGGAACACCUGUGGCGAAGGCGCCUUGCUGGCCAAUUACUGACGCUGAGGCGCGAAAGCGUGGGGAGCAAACAGG
rnacentral:rRNA from 1 species